rnacentral:misc_RNA from 1 species
AGAAAGGAUAAGGUGAGAUGAUAUGUUAUCAUCCUAAGUGGGACAAAAGCUAAAAAUAGAAGGGCAAGAGGAAAUUAUUGUAAAUUGAAUCCCAAAGGGAAUCAUCUCAAGGAGGUUUGUGCUGCCCCCUGCGGGCCUUAAACUGGCAAUGUAGAAAAUUUGCACCUUCUUUGUUGACAUGGUGCCCAAGUUAAUGAAAACCCUAAUCAAUCUGCUAGAUAUCAAAGCAAGUUGCAAAUUUUGUUGCAUUCUUAAUUUUCUUCCAUUCCAUUUAAACAUAAUGGUGGUGGAGGGCAUCAGUAUCAUCAUUGUUAUCAUUCAGUCUAUGUUAUUAAAGUGACUUUGUUUUUCCCUUUCCAGGUAAUUGCCGAAAACCUCUCUG